GCGGGUGUAGCUCAGGGGUAGAGCACAACCUUGCCAAGGUUGGGGUCGUGGGUUCGAAUCCCAUCACCCGCUCCA
rnacentral:tRNA from 26 species